ACGGAGGAUGCAAGCGUUAUCCGGAAUGAUUGGGCGUAAAGCGUCCGCAGGUGGCGAUGUAAGUCUGCUGUUAAAGAGUGAGGCUCAACCUCAUAAAAGCAGUGGAAACUACAUAGCUAGAGUGCGGUAGGGGCAGAGGGAAUUCCUGGUGUAGCGGUGAAAUGCGUAGAGAUCAGGAAGAACACCGGUGGCGAAGGCGGCGACCUGGACCGAUACUGACGCUAAUACACGAAAGCGUGGGGAGCAAACAGGA
rnacentral:rRNA from 1 species